rnacentral:rRNA from 1 species
GCUAGUUGCUGACGAGUGGCGGACGGGUGAGUAAUACUUAGGGAUCUGCCUCUGUGUGGGGGAUAACUAUUGGAAACGAUAGCUAAUACCGCAUAACGUCUACGGACCAAAGAGGGCUUCGGCUCUCGCGCAGAGAGGAACCUAAGCGAGAUUAGCUUGUUGGUGAGGUAAAGGCUCACCAAGGCGACGAUCUCUAGCUGUUCUGAGAGGAAGAUCAGCCACACUGGAACUGAGACACGGUCCAGACUCCUACGGGAGGCAGCAGUGGGGAAUAUUGCACAAUGGGGGCAACCCUGAUGCAGCCAUGCCGCGUGUGUGAAGAAGGCCUUCGGGUUGUAAAGCACUUUCAGUUGUGAGGAAAGGUUAGUAGUUAAUACCUGCUAGCUGUGACGUUAACAACAGAAGAAGCACCGGCUAACUCCGUGCCAGCAGCCGCGGUAAUACGGAGGGUGCGAGCGUUAAUCGGAAUUACUGGGCGUAAAGCGCACGCAGGCGGUCUGUUAAGCUAGAUGUGAAAGCCCCGCGCUC